rnacentral:rRNA from 1 species
AUUGAACGCUGGCGGCAGGCCUAACACAUGCAAGUCGAGCGAGCGGCGGACGGGUGAGUAAUGUAUGGGGACUGCCCGAUAGAGGGGGAUAACUACUGGAAACGGUGGCUAAUACCGCCUAAUAGCGGUUAACCCAAAUGGGAGUAGCUAGUAGGUGGGUUAAAGGCUCACCAAGGCGACGAUCUCUAGCUGGGAUGAGAGGAGUAUCGGCCAAACUGUGACUGGGACACGGCCCAGACUCCUACGGAGGAAGCAGUGGGGAAUAUUGCACAAUGGGCGCAAGCCUGAUGCAGCCAUGCCGCGUGUAUGAAGAAGGCCUUAGGGUUGUAAAGUACUUUCAGCGGGGAGGCGUUACCCGCAGAAGAAGCACCGGCUAACUCCGUGCCAGCAGCCGCGGUAAUUC